rnacentral:rRNA from 1 species
AGAGUUUGAUCCUGGCUCAGGAUGAACGCUAGCGACAGGCUUAACACAUGCAAGUCGAGGGGCAGCGAGGGAGUGGCAACACUUCUGUCGGCGACCGGCGCACGGGUGAGUAACGCGUAUGCAACCUGCCCUUCACAGGGGGAUAACCGGGAGAAAUUCCGACUAAUACCGCAUACGUCCUCCGGGGGCAUCCCCGGGGGAUGAAAGAGUUAUCGGUGAAGGAUGGGCAUGCGUGAUAUUAGGUAGUUGGCGGGGCAACGGCCCACCAAGCCUACGAUAUCUAGGGGUUCUGAGAGGAAGGUCCCCCACAUUGGUACUGAGACACGGACCAAACUCCUACGGGAGGCAGCAGUGAGGAAUAUUGGUCAAUGGACGAGAGUCUGAACCAGCCAAGUCGCGUGAAGGAAGACGGAUCUAUGGUUUGUAAACUUCUUUAGUGCGGGAACAAAGCGGCGUCGUGACGCCGGAUGAGUGUACCGCAAGAAUAAGCAUCGGCUAACUCCGUGCCAGCAGCCGCGGUAAUACGGAGGAUGCGAGCGUUAUCCGGAUUUAUUGGGUUUAAAGGGUGCGCAGGCGGCGCGCCAAGUCAGCGGUCAAAGUUCCGGGCUCAACCCGGUGUCGCCGUUGAAACUGGCGUGCUCGAGUGCGUGCGAGGAAGGCGGAAUGCGUUGUGUAGCGGUGAAAUGCAUAGAUAUGACGCAGAACUCCGAUUGCGAAGGCAGCAUACCAACUCGCGACUGACGCUGAGGCUCGAAAGCGUGGGUAUCGAACAGGAUUAGAUACCCUGGUAGUCCACGCAGUAAACGAUGAAUACUAACUGUUCGGAGGGCGACCUCUGAGUGGUAAAGCGAAAGCGUUAAGUAUUCCACCUGGGGAGUACGCCGGCAACGGUGAAACU